rnacentral:rRNA from 1 species
UACGUAGGGGGCAAGCGUUAUCCGGAAUUACUGGGUGUAAAGGGAGCGUAGACGGUUGUGCAAGUCUGGAGUGAAAGGCGGGGGCCCAACCCCCGGACUGCUCUGGAAACUGUAUAACUGGAGUGCAGGAGAGGCAGGCGGAAUUCCUGGUGUAGCGGUGAAAUGCGUAGAUAUCAGGAGGAACACCGGUGGCGAAGGCGGCCUGCUGGACUGUAACUGACGUUGAGGCUCGAAAGCGUG